GUGGGGAAUUUUGGACAAUGGGCGAAAGCCUGAUCCAGCCAUGCCGCGUGCAGGAUGAAGGCCUUCGGGUUGUAAACUGCUUUUGUACGGAACGAAAAGACUCCUUCUAAUAAAGGGGGUCCAUGACGGUACCGUAAGAAUAAGCACCGGCUAACUACGUGCCAGCAGCCGCGGUAAUACGUAGGGUGCAAGCGUUAAUCGGAAUUACUGGGCGUAAAGCGUGCGCAGGCGGUUAUAUAAGACAGAUGUGAAAUCCCCGGGCUCAACCUGGUGACUGCAUGUGUGACUGUAUAGCUAGAGUACGGUAGAGGGGGAUGGAAUUCCGCGUGUAGCAGUGAAAUGCGUAGAUAUGCGGAGGAACACCGAUGGCGAAGGCAAUCCCCUGGACCUGUACUGACGCUCAUGCACGAAAGCGUGGGGAGCAAACAGGAUUAGAUACCCGUGUAGUCC
rnacentral:rRNA from 1 species